rnacentral:rRNA from 1 species
GUACACGUAUCCAACCUGCCGUCUACUCUUGGACAGCCUUCUGAAAGGAAGAUUAAUACAAGAUGGCAUCAUGAGUCCGCAUGUUCACAUGAUUAAAGGUAUUCCGGUAGACGAUGGGGAUGCGUUCCAUUAGAUAGUAGGCGGGGUAACGGCCCACCUAGUCUUCGAUGGAUAGGGGUUCUGAGAGGAAGGUCCCCCACAUUGGAACUGAGACACGGUCCAA